rnacentral:rRNA from 1 species
AGAGUUUGAUCAUGGCUCAGGAUGAACGCUAGCGGCAGGCUUAAUACAUGCAAGUCGAACGGGAUUUCGGGUAGCAAUACCUGGAUGAGAGUGGCGCACGGGUGCGUAACGCGUAUGCAACCUACCUUUAACUGGGGCACAACUCCGCGAAAGCGGGGCUAAUAUCCCAUAACAUUGCGAUGAGGAGUCUCAUUGCAAUUAAAGCUCCGGCGGUUAUAGAUGGGCAUGCGUGACACUAGCUAGUUGGUGAGGUAACGGCUCACCAAGGCGACGAUGUCUAGGGGUUCUGAGAGGAUUAUCCCCCACACUGGUACUGAGACACGGACCAGACUCCUACGGGAGGCAGCAGUAAGGAAUAUUGGGCAAUGGACGCAAGUCUGACCCAGCCAUGCCGCGUGAAGGAUGAAGGCCCUAUGGGUUGUAAACUUCUUUUAUACGGGAAAAAACCUUCGGUCGUGUACCGGAGCUGAUGGUACCGUAAGAAUAAGCAUCGGCUAACUCCGUGCCAGCAGCCGCGGUAAUACGGAGGAUGCAAGCGUUAUCCGGAUUCAUUGGGUUUAAAGGGUGCGCAGGCGGAGUGAUAAGUCAGUGGUGAAAGCCUACGGCUCAACUGUAGAACUGCCAUUGAUACUGUCAUUCUUGAGUACUGUUGAGGUGGGCGGAAUGUGUCAUGUAGCGGUGAAAUGCUUAGAUAUGACACAGAACACCGAUCGCGAAGGCAGCUCACCAAGCAGAAACUGACGCUCAUGCACGAAAGCGUGUGGAUCAAACAGGAUUAGAUACCCUGGUAGUCCACGCUGUAAACGAUGAUCACUCGAUGUUGGCGAUAUACUGUCAGCGUCUUAGCGAAAGUAUUAAGUGAUCCACCUGGGGAGUAC